GGUAGUCCACGCCGUAAACGAUGUCGACUUGGAGGUUGUUCCCCUGAGGAGUGGCUUCCGGAGCUAACGCGUUAAGUCGACCGCCUGGGGAGUACGGCCGCAAGGUUAAAACUCAAAUGAAUUGACGGGGGCCCGCACAAGCGGUGGAGCAUGUGGUUUAAUUCGAUGCAACGGGAAGAACCUUACCUGGCCUUGACAUCCAGAGAACUUAGCAGAGAUGCUUUGGUGCCUUCGGGAACUCUGAGACAGGUGCUGCAUGGCUGUCGUCAGCUCGUGUUGUGAAAUGUUGGGUUAAGUCCCGCAACGAGCGCAACCCUUAUCCUUUGUUGCCAGCGGGUGAUGCCGGGAACUCAAAGGAGACUGCCGGUGAUAAACCGGAGGAAGGUGGGGAUGACGUCAAGUCAUCAUGGCCCUUACGGCCAGGGCUACACACGUGCUACAAUGGCGCAUACAAAGAGAAGCGACCUCGCGAGAGCAAGCGGACCUCAUAAAGUGCGUCGUAGUCCGGAUCGGAGUCUGCAACUCGACUCCGUGAAGUCGGAAUCGCUAGUAAUCGUAGAUCAGAAUGCUACGGUGAAUACGUUCCCGGGCCUUGUACACACCGCCCGUCACACCAUGGGAGUGGGUUGCAAAAGAAGUAGGUAGCUUAACCUCCGGGAGGGCGCUUACCACUUUGUGAUUCAUGACUGGGGUGAAGUCGUAACAAGGUAACC
rnacentral:rRNA from 1 species